rnacentral:rRNA from 1 species
UAGGGAAUUUUCGUCAAUGGGGGGAACCCUGAACGAGCAAUGCCGCGUGAGUGAAGAAGGUCUUCGGAUCGUAAAGCUCUGUUGUAAGAGAAAAACGGGCUCCAUAGGGAAUGAUGGAGAAGUGAUGGUAUCUUACCAGAAAGCCACGGCUAACUACGUGCCAGCAGCCGCGGUAAUACGUAGGUGGCGAGCGUUAUCCGGAAUCAUUGGGCGUAAAGGGUGCGUAGGUGGCACGAUAAGUCUGUAGUAAAAGGCAGCGGCUCAACCGCUGUUGGCUAUGGAAACUGUCGAGCUGGAGUGCAGAAGAGGGCGAUGGAAUUCCAUGUGUAGCGGUAAAAUGCGUAGAUAUAUGGAGGAACACCAGUGGCGAAGGCGGCCGCCUGGUCUGCAACUGACACUGAAGCACGAAAGCGUGGGGAGCAAAUA